rnacentral:piRNA from 1 species
UCAAACUUUAAACUUUGUAUGCCUCUGGAC